ensembl:lncRNA LINC01127 long intergenic non-protein coding RNA 1127
UUUUCAUCCAGUGAGGACACAGGGAGAAGAUGGUCAUUAGCGACCAGGAAGAGGGUCCCCCCACCAGAACCCCAUGCUGGCACCUGAUCUCGACUUCCGGCCUCCAGAAAUCUUUGAGAAGCAGAUAGGCUUGAAUGAGCAUGGAAUGUAUCUAUUUAAAAAGCAGCUGGAAGUCUGUCAAGUGCAUUCUGGAAAUGGAUUCAGGCUAACAGAGUGUUCUGAAUAGAGACGCCUAAAACAAGUAAGUAUGAUCUGUUAUCAAUGCAUUAUCACUUUAUGGUAUACGAUUGAUUUUCUUAAGUAUGUGAUUGUAGUGUCUAUAAUUUUGUGUUUUUGUACUUAGCAACCCUUUUUCAUAUAGAUGGAAUCAGAAUAAAUUUCAUCCUAGUUCUAUUUCCAAAAUAUUAUUGGUGCCCCUAGUUGUACUGCCUGAGUGUUGUCAGAUCAAGGCUUACAAACUCACGGGCGAUGCUGCAGAAUGAGUGACAACAGAUAAUGCCAAUUGCCCAGAUUGAAUCCAGCAAGAAAUGACAUUGGAAUGGCUCUACCUUGUGGAGGGAACUGUCCAGUGCAGAGGACCUGCCUGAGUA